rnacentral:rRNA from 1 species
AUUGAACGCUGGCGGAAUGCUUUACACAUGCAAGUCGAACGGCAGCACGGGGGCAACCCUGGUGGCGAGUGGCGAACGGGUGAGUAAUACAUCGGAACGUGCCCAGUCGUGGGGGAUAACUACGCGAAAGCGUAGCUAAUACCGCAUACGAACUCAGGUUGAAAGCGGGGGAUCGCAAGACCUCGCGCGACUGGAGCGGCCGAUGGCAGAUUAGGUAGUUGGUGGGGUAAAGGCUCACCAAGCCGACGAUCUGUAGCUGGUCUGAGAGGACGACCAGCCACACUGGGACUGAGACACGGCCCAGACUCCUACGGGAGGCAG